CGCGUAGGCGGUUUUAUAAGUCAGAUGUGAAAGUCCAUGGCUCAACUGUGGAAGUGCAUUUGAAACUGUGAAGCUUGAGUAUCGGAGGGGAGUGUGGAAUUCCCGGUGUAGAGGUGAAAUUCGUAGAGAUCGGGAGGAACACCGGUGGCGAAGGCGACACUCUGGACGAAUACUGACGCUGAGGCGCGAAAGCGUGGGGAGCAAACA
rnacentral:rRNA from 1 species